UAACAAACGCCCGGGUAUUACGAGCCUCAGCUUAAAACCCAAAGGACUUGACGGUGUCCCAUCCAACUAGAGGAGCCUGUUCUAUAAUCGAUAACCCCCGAUACACCUAACCCCUCCUUGCCAAUCAGCCUGUAUACCUCCGUCGCAAACUUACCAUAUGAAUGCCAAUAGUAGGUUAAAUGGUUAUAUCACCAACACGUCAGGUCAAGGUGCAGCUCAUGAUAGGGAAAGCAAUGGGCUACAAUUUCUAAAAUAGAACACACGGAAUGCUGCAUGAAACACAGCCGCGAAGGCGGAUUUAGUAGUAAAAAGAAAAUAAAGUGUCCUUUUUAAUAAGGCCCUGGGACGUGUACACACCGCCCGUCACCCUCUUCAACAGCACACAAUAUGUUCCUAACAACUCUUGCACCUUAGAAGAGGCAAGUCGUAACAUGGUAAGUGUACCGGAAGGUGCACUUGGAUUUACAAAGUAUAGUUUAACAAAACCUCCCGCUUACACCGAGAAUAUAUCUGUGAGAAUCAGAUUACUUUGAGCCUAAAAUUAAGCCUAACCCACCCCCAUGAAAACCACUUCCAACUAAACAACAAUAAAACAUUUUAUCAGUUUAGUAAAGGCGAUUAAAAAACUUCCUAGCGCUUUACUUCUAGUACCGCAAGGGAAAAAUGAAAUAGUUUUGAAACAGCCAUUAAGCAACCUAUAGCAGAGACUACCCCUCGUACCUUUUGCAUCAUGGUUUAGCCAGUCUUUUUCAAGCAAAGCGAAACAUCAGUUUGACCCCCCGAAACUAAGCGAGCUACUUCAAAACAGCUCAAUGGAGCCAACCCGUCUCUGUCGCAAAAGAGUGGGACGAUUUUUAAGUAGAGGUGAAAAGCCUACCGAGCUUAGAGAUAGCUGGUUAUUCAAGAAAAGAAUUUUAGUUCUACCUUAAGUUUCUGUAUUAACCCUAUAAACCACUCAAACUUAAGAGCUAUUCAAAUGAGGCACAGCUUAUUUGAAAAAGGAUACAACCUAUAAAAAAGGGUAAAACCCCCCCCCCC
rnacentral:misc_RNA from 1 species